UACGGGGGGGGCAAGCGUUGUUCGGAAUUACUGGGCGUAAAGGGCUCGUAGGCGGCCAACUAAGUCAGACGUGAAAUCCCUCGGCUUAACCGGGGAACUGCAUCUGAUACUGGAUGGCUUGAGUUCGGGAGAGGGAUGCGGAAUUCCAGGUGUAGCGGUGAAAUUCGUAGAUAUUAGGAAGAACACCAGUGGCGAAGGCGGCUCACUGGCCCGGUACUGACGCUCAUGUGCGAAAGCGUGGGGAGCAAACAGG
rnacentral:rRNA from 1 species